rnacentral:rRNA from 1 species
AGUGGGGAAUCUUGCGCAAUGGGCGAAAGCCUGACGCAGCAACGCCGCGUGGAGGAUGAAGGCCUUUGGGUUGUAAACUCCUGUCGGCUGGGAAGAAAUCAUACGGUGCUCAUACCACCGUGUGUUGACUGUACCAGCAAAGGAAGCCCCGGCUAACUCUGUGCCAGCAGCCGCGGUAAUACAGAGGGGGCCAGCGUUAUUCGGAAUUAUUGGGCGUAAAGGGCGCGUAGGCGGCCAUGCGUGUCUUCCGUGAAAUCCCUCGGCUUAACUGAGGACGUGCGGAAGAAACUGCAAGGCUCGAGUCCGGGAGAGGGGGGUGGAAUUCCCAGUGUAGCGGUGAAAUGCGUAGAUAUUGGGAGGAACACCGGUGGCGAAGGCGGCCCCCUGGACCGGUACUGACGCUGAGGCGCGAAAGCGUGGGUAGCAAA